GAAUUCAAGGGGGGCUCGAAUGAGCCGAAUGAGGU
rnacentral:tRNA from 1 species